rnacentral:lncRNA from 1 species
AGAGUGGUAAGCCAAGAGCCAGAUUGUGAGAGUCGUAAGCCAAGAUAAGCUUGGUGCUACCUCUUUAUUUUCUUUGCUUUUAUUAUUUACUUAUGAAGAAUUGUGAUUGAGAGAAGUAUUGUUGAAUUGAUAGUCAUAGAAUGGAUUAUGUGUUGAAUUAAGAUGGAAGUAGUAAGCCUUGGUGUUUUGUAGUUUGAUAAUUGAUUUCUGAUAGCUAGAGUAUAG